rnacentral:tRNA from 1 species
GCCGUCGUAGAGAAAUGGUAACUCGUCAGACUUCUAAUCUGUAGACUGCAGGUUCGAGUCCUGCCGGCGGCG